GCCCUUCACUAAAACAAGGCGCACUGCUCCUUGUUGAGAGAAAAGGCCGAAUGGCCUUUUCUUUUCUUUUUCCCGUAGAGGCAGUGCCUCUUCUUCUUAUUUUUCUCUUAAGAAUUUUUAUAGAAAAUCCUUGAUCGACGAAGAUCCAACGGUCCGAUCUUCCAUCCGACUUCGGUAGCGUGAUCUACGAAGCCCGAUUUACGUUUCUACAGAUUGGAUUAAGGAUUUGUCGUGUGGAGCUUGCUAAACACUCUCCAAGUGUUGGAUUUACAUUUGGUGGAAUUUUGUAAUGCAUUGCAUGGUGGUGUCUAGGAGACCUAGUACUUAAUAUCCGCGCAGCCAAGACAUUGAUUCUUUGGUUGCAGGUUCUGCGGAUAUAGAUAUUGACUCUCCACCUAGCGUAUGGGAUGCUAUGAUUGGAGCACAUCGCGACAGUCAUAAGUCAUGGACUCAUAGAUUCCCUGACUGAAGGACAUGCAAAGGAUUUGGUGUGGAAAACAUCAAAGGCGAUGGGAUUAAAGUCUUUAUCACCAAUAGUGGAAACUCAACUAAAGAUCUUGAGUCCAAUGAGAUAAAGUACACUGUAUAUUGUAAUCGCAAGUACCACAUAUUGAAUUAGUUUUUAAACUAAUAAAACAUCCCAAGGUUAAGGUGAUUGGAACCUAUAAUGUUAUAGUGGAGGUUGUGUUUUAUCCACUUAAUAGGCUUAUAACAGAUUUAUGUUGAAGUGUAUCAGUUACAGGGAACUUCUGAUAAGCCUACCAA